AUAACCUCAGAAGGGAAGAAAUGUUUUAUAUCUUGAUCUGGGUAGUGGUUACAUGAGCAUUCACAUGUGGAAAAAUUCAAUAAGCUCUACACUUAAGAUUGAUACAUUUUAUGGUAUAUAUUUAAACCUCAAAUUUAUAAACUUUUUCAAAAAAUUAAUAAGUUAUUAUGUAGUAGGGUUGGCACCUAUUAAAAGAAAUUUUGGGAAACACAGAAUCAGGGUUUUUCCUUAUUUUGCCAGAAUUGUCCAGAAACAUAAUUCCUCCAAGUCAGAACAGACUCAUCUGUUUUUAAAACAGAAUUAAACCUCAUGGCCAACUAAUUGGACUCUUUCCCAAAGAGAGAUAUACCUCACACAAACAGCUGUGUCUUAAAGAUCAAGUUUUUGUUAUAGCCUACAAGCUAUGGAAAAUUCUGCCAGAUGAUUUGGAGACAUUCAUUUCUCCUUUAUUUCUUGCUAGCAGAGCCACACUUUUGUUCAGGGUCCACCAGUUCUCCACCCGA
rnacentral:lncRNA from 1 species